GUUGUAAAACUAUAAUAUACGAAGAAUAUUGAUCAGUUUCUAUUUACCUGUGCCUUAUUUGCUUGUGUAGUUUUGAUUAUUGAGGGAUUCUUCAAUUGAUGAUGAAUUCCACCCUCUCACGAACCCCCAAUCUUAAGCGAAAGGGCAGUCUGGGAGACAUGCUCCCCAUUCGUUCUAAUCGAUAUUCUUCGUAUAUUAUAGUUUUACAACAUCGUUCCAAAGAGCAACUUGAGAUUAACAAAC
rnacentral:misc_RNA from 1 species